CCCUUAGAUGUCCUGGGCCGCACGCGCGCUACACUGACAUGUUCAACAAGCCUCCUAGUUCGACAGGAUUUGGGAAAUCUUUGAACGCAUGUCGUGAUAGGGAUAGAUCAUUGCAAUUAUUGAUCUUGAACGAGGGAUUCCUAGUAAACGCGAGUCAUCAGCUCGCAUUGAUUACGUCCCUGCCCUUUGUACACACCGCCCGUCGCACCUACCGAUUGAAUGUUUCGGUGAAGAUUCCGGAUAGGACUUUUUUGAUUUAUUUCAAUUCUGUCUUAAAAGCUAUCUAAACCUCAACAUUUAGAGGAAGGUGAAGUCGUAACA
rnacentral:rRNA from 1 species